rnacentral:rRNA from 1 species
CAAUACACAGUGGCGCACGGGUGAGUAAUGUAUCGCUAAUGUACCCCGAACUCUGGGAUAGCCAGCCGAAAGGUUGGGUAAUACCAGAUGAGACCACGAUCUGGCAUCAGAUUGUGCUCAAAGGUUCGCCGGUUUGGGAUCAGGCGAUAUGGUAUCAGGUAGUUGGUGAGGUAACGGCUCACCAAGCCUUCGACGCCUAGCCGGACUGAGAGGUCGGACGGCCACAUCGGGACUGAGACACUGCCCGGACUCCUACGGGGGCUGCAGUAAUGAAUCCUCCGCAAUGCACGAAAGUGUGACGGAGCGACGCCGAGUGAAGGAUGAAGUUCUUCGGAAUGUAAACUUCUAAAAUCUGUUAGAAAGUUCUGAUCAGCAGACUAUAAGUGGCGACUAACUCUGUGCCAGCAGUCGCGGUAAUACAGAGGCCACGAGCGUUAGGCGGAAUCACUGGGCUUAAAGCGUGUGUAGGUGGAUCGGUAAGUACCUUGUAAAAUCCCACAGCUCAACUGUGGAACUGCUUGGUAUACUGCCAGUCUUGAGGCACUCAGGGGCGAGCGGAACAAGUGGUGGAGCGGUGAAAUGCGUAGAUAUCACUUGGAACGCCAAUGGUGAAGACAGCUCGCUGGGGGUGUACUGACACUGAGACACGAAAGCCAGGGGAGCGAACGGGAUUAGAUACCCCGGUAGUCCUGGCCCUAAACAAUGUCCACUAGAGUGUGGCACCUCUGACGGUGUCAUGCUCGAAACGAAAGCGUUAAGU